GCGGGGUCAGGAAGGAGAGUUCAGGGCAGAAAAACCGGACCUGACCAGCUCAGUUUGCGGUUCCGGUUGGCGCCCUCUGGUUGUGGCAGAUGCUCGUAUGCUGUGGGGGCACGUCUGGGACUGUUUGGAGACUUCUUCUCCAUCAGGGAACCUCCCUCCAUACCUUAGCCCGCGCCGUCCUCCCUCGUGCUGCUGGUAGUGCGCCUGCGCGGUCUUUCUGUUGGGGUCCGCCGGCCGGGCAGAGACAACUCUCGGAGGCGGUCGCUUCCAGAUGCCGCAAGUCUUGUUAUCUUCCACAAGAAGAAAGAAGAGGGAGAUCUGGACAGAGGAGGCACACAGAGAAGACAGCCGUGUGAAGACAGAGGCAGAGAUUGGAGCCAUGCAGCUGCGAGCCAAAGAACAUGGAGGAUUGCUGGGAGCCACGAGCAAUGGAAGAGACAAGGGAGGCGUCUUGCUUAGAGCCUUCAGGGGGUGUGUAGCCCCCUGACACCUUGAUUUCAGACUUCUGGCCCUCAAGAUUGAGGGAAUAAAUUUUUGUCAUUUUAA